rnacentral:lncRNA from 1 species
UUACGAGGUAUACUUCACCGAGAGAGGUUACGAGGUAUACUUCACCGAGAGAGGUUACGAGGUAUACUUCACCGAGAGAGGUUACGAGGUAUACUUCACCGAGAGAGGUUACGAGGUAUACUUCACCGAGAGAGGUUACGAGGUAUACUUCACCGAGAGAGGUUACGAGGUAUACUUCACCGAGAGAGGUUACGAGGUAUAUACUUCACCGAGAGAGGUUACGAGGUAUACUUCACCGAGAGAGGUUACGAGGUAUACUUCACCGAGAGAGGUUACGAGGUAUACUUCACCGAGAGAGGUUACGAGGUAUACUUCACCGAGAGAGGUUACGAGGUAUACUUCACCGAGAGAGGUUACGAGGUAUCUCAGUGAGGUGGGAUAAUGGCCCUUUGCUUUAAGUGUUUCGUUUCCAUUACGUAUCGCUUCUUGUUCUUGUUAUAUUUAUCCCUUGUUUAUGUUUGUUCGUUGUUAUGUUUUUGUCGUAUAGUAAAUUAUUGAUGUUAUUUCGUUAUUAUAAUUCCGGUAUCAUUAGCGAGGGAAAGUUAAAUGUGAGUUACGUAGAGUGAGGUGUUAUCUGAAUCUCUAUUGUUACGGUGCUUUUUGGUCAUAUGUGUAAUGAUCAAUAGUACAGUUAAGCAGAGCAUGUAAACCCAAAGAACAUAUUAGUAUUCAGAUUUAAUUAAACCAUUUAUGACAACAGACAUGAUAAACUAACCAAACAUUAUAUUGUAGAACGUUUGAUCAGAUUAAUAAGUUGGGUUAGGUUUAGUUGGUUCACAAUAUACUGUAUUCGGGUAACUGCGGUGUAGGAGAUAUGUAUCGUCAUGUAAUUAGGGUUUUAUAUUACUGGAAGCAACUAUUCAUUCGUUCCCUCGUGUCGUAGGUAAACUGGUCCGGCGUGAAUUGGUUUUCUCUUAAUGAUCUGUCCGAGAACUGCUCGUUUUCUAUGUUGACGCCAGCGGUCGAAGUUGAGAGUGUGUGGCGCCGUGAGGGCCUGUGAGGGGAGGGGGGUAGUCGUGGCGUCAGGAUUAUGAGGCUCUGGUGCCAGUUGUAGCGGCGCGCGGCGAGUGCCACUAGGGGUUUCUGGCGUCAAGCGGCACCAGUACCAACUGUACAUCUCCUCUUUGUGUCUAGCAAACAAAAGCAAUUUUUCAUCACUACGAUAUUGUUUACAAAGUGUGUUACGAAGUGAAUGAAAUUAUCUAUGUUGAAUAUUAAUCAACGAAUUCUAAAUCUUUUCUAAAUAGUUUUAAUUUGUUUACUUUUCGAUGGAGGAUUCCAAUAGAGACGUUAUAGACCCAAGGUGAAGGAGAAGGUGCUCCGCCAACGUGACCUGGUAAAACUGUUGCCAGUGGUGCUAGCGGGAGUGGCAACUUCCGAGCGCCAUCAGUGUGCCGGCGGCUGGCGUAGGGUGCAUGUCGGGCGAGGUGUGAGUGUGCUACUGGCCGUGCUCUGGUGUGUUGGCUGAACCUCUUACUAAGGCUCGACUGCCACAUCGCUCCCCACGCACGGAUUACCGCAAGAUCACACAGUUUACACCACCGUUUUGUCCACGACAGGAGCCCCGCUAGCCGGAGCCAGGGGCUCCAAACUACCCACACAAGCUUGGUUCAGAGCACUGCUUUAAGAAACUCGACUAUCGACUGGGCGAUUACAGGGGCUCGGAGCUCCGACCUGACCGAACCGUUGCUCGCUAACACCUGCAUCAUCACCGAGGAUUCGAACCAUCCCAUGGUCGACUCCUCCCACUAAAAAGGUGAGAAAAUAAACGACAGAAGACAUCCACCCGCCGAGGUAGGUGAGGCCAGCCUCCCGAGACACUGGGUAA